rnacentral:rRNA from 1 species
AUUGAACGCUGGCGGCAGGCCUAACACAUGCAAGUCGAGCGGAUGAAGGGAGCUUGCUCCUGGAUUCAGCGGCGGACGGGUGAGUAAUGCCUAGGAAUCUGCCUGGUAGUGGGGGAUAACGUCCGGAAACGGGCGCUAAUACCGCAUACGUCCUGAGGGAGAAAGUGGGGGAUCUUCGGACCUCACGCUAUCAGAUGAGCCUAGGUCGGAUUAGCUAGUUGGUGGGGUAAAGGCCUACCAAGGCGACGAUCCGUAACUGGUCUGAGAGGAUGAUCAGUCACACUGGAACUGAGACACGGUCCAGACUCCUACGAGAGGCAGCAGUGGGGAAUAUUAGACGAUAGGCGGAAGCCUGAUCCAGCCAUGCCGCGUGUGUGAAGAAGGUCUUCGGAUUGUAAAGCACUUUAAGUUGGGGGGAAGGGCAGUAAGUUAAUACCUUGCUGUUUUGACGUUACCAACAGAAUAAGCACCGGCUAACUUCGUG